CUUUUUUAUAGCUCUAGGUCAGUCACAUACUAUAGCUUCCCCCUAGCUUUAUUUUUGCAUUUACAGUACUCUGCUGGCUGGUAUACGCUCCUCAUGCCCCGCCUCCCGUCCUCCUGUUCAUAGUGGACCCUCUUGGUGCUCCUGCUGUCACAGGUGUUUAGUGUCAAACUGUCCGUGGCCAGCAGGGACGCGCUUACCUUGACGUGAUCAACCUUGAAAUGAAAAGAACUAAAUCCAGACAGUCAGGGUAACAGACAUGUCAGCCAUUAGGGAUUUUUUCCUUCCUUCUCUCAUAUUUUUGCUCGUUCCUGACUUUUCACUCUUGCUCUUCCUCACUUUCGCUUUACAUUAUUUCUCUUUACAUUCCUUUUUCAUUUGCACAUUGCCAACCUUCCUUUACUCUCUCUGCUGAUUCCAUUUUUUUCUUUUUACCUUAUUUUCCUCUUACCGUUCAUUUUAUCCUAAUUUCAUUUUCUCUGAGUAUGUUCUGUCUUUUGUUCCUCCAUCUUCUCUUUCCUUAGUCUGUUUCUUAACUUAUGCCUCCCACAAGUCCUUUUCUCCCGUUUCCUUUCCUUUGUCUUGCCACACUACAGCCACAUGUGAGUGGAGUUAUGGAGUUUGAUUAUGUUCAGAAGACCUUAUUGUGAUUAUGCGUUCUUACACUCUAAUCUGGGUUUGUGUGUAGCUCAUCUUCUGACCAGCUAAGUGCUUUGUAGAGGAAAAAAAAAUCACGCCACAGUGAAUUAUUUCUGGCUGGGUUAGUUUUAUUUCUCUGGGCACUUUGAUAAUGGAGAGGAUUUGAAUAAUGAAUGGGGUAUAUAAUACUGUUCUUCAGACCCGCUGAAUGAAUUUAGCAAGUGCAUAUAAGUGAGUUUCUGUGAGUGCCUCUAAUAUACACCCCUACAUUUCUAUUUCUAUUUUUGGAGCUGGAACAUGAAUGUGCUCUUCUGUGAAAGAAAUGAAAUUGCUAGAAAUGUUUUUUAAUUUUUGCUAUUUCUUUUUUUUUUUUUAAUUGCUUCUCAUCUGUCAUCAGGCAGGAAGGAUCUCUCGCCUGCAGCCUCCAGUGUUGCCAUUUCUACACAGACUAUUCAGACAUGUUUCCACAACUGAAUCGUAUCUGCAUACGAUUGGCCUCAAGCACAGGGUGUUAGAGUCUAAAUUUCUUUCUAUCCUACAUUUCUAAUUUUCUCUGUGGAAGCAAUGACAGUUUGCUGGUGCUUCAGAAUAUUUGUAUUUUAAAGUCAAAUUACUGAUUUGAGUUCCUUUGGAACAAGAGACUACUAUAAUUACAGGAAGUGCUAUAAGCAAGUUCAUUUUAGUUUCAGCCUACCCUCUAUAACUUUGUCUCCAUUAAUAUUAUUAUUCCGUUAUUUUGGAAACCUGUCAGCCAUUCUCACAAACUGCCUGACCAGCAGUACAAAACAUUCUCAAAAAAGAGAAAAUAAAGGCAGCACUCUCACAUCAGGCAGUGGAAUUAAAAGAUUAUCCCCAUUAUUAAUGAUUUAUUUUCUGUUUAUUUAUCUAUUACUUUUAUAUGAAGUACAGUAAACACACACACACAACAUGACUGCCAUGUGUCUGUGGAUUUACAUCACUUCAGUGUC
ensembl:lncRNA